GAUGAACGCUGGCGGCAUGCCUAAUACAUGCAAGUCGAACGAGAGGAAGGAAAGCUUGCUUUUCUGAAUCUAGUGGCGAACGGGUGAGUAACACGUAGGUAACCUGCCCAUGUGCCCGGGAUAACUUCUGGAAACGGAUGCUAAAACCGGAUAGGUAGCAGACAAGCAUUUGACUGCUAUUAAAGUGGCUAAGGCCAUGAACAUGGAUGGACCUGCGGUGCAUUAGCUAGUUGGUGAGGUAACGGCCCACCAAGGCGACGAUGCAUAGCCGGCCUGAGAGGGCGGACGGCCACAUUGGGACGGAGACACGGCCCAAACUCCUACGGGAGGCAGCAGUAGGGAAUGUUCGUCAAGGGGGGGAACCCUGAACGAGCAAUGCCGCGUGAGUGAGGAAGGUCUUCGGAUCGUAAAGCUCUGUUGUAAGAGAAAAACGACAUUCAUAGGGAAUGAUGAGUGAGUGAUGGUAUCUUACCAGAAAGUCACGGCUAACUACGUGCCAGCCGCCGCCGUAAUAC
rnacentral:rRNA from 1 species